rnacentral:rRNA from 1 species
GAUGAACGCUGGCGGCGUGCUUAACACAUGCAAGUCGAACGGAAAGGCUCCUGCUUGCAGGGGUGCUCGAGUGGCGAACGGGUGAGUAACGCGUGGGUGAUCUGCCCUGCACUUCGGGAUAAGCCUGGGAAACUGGGUCUAAUACCGGCUAGGACGAUGGGUUGGAUGCCAUUGUGGAAAGUUUUUUCGGUGUGGGAUGAGCUCGCGGCCUAUCAGCUUGUUGGUGGGGUAAUGGCCUACCAAGGCGUCGACGGGUAGCCGGCCUGAGAGGGUGUACGGCCACAUUGGGACUGAGAUACGGCCCAGACUCCUACGGGAGGCAGCAGUGGGGAAUAUUGCACAAUGGGCGCAAGCCUGAUGCAGCGACGCCGCGUGGGGGAUGACGGCCUUCGGGUUGUAAACUCCUUUCGCUAGGGACGAAGCGCAAGUGACGGUACCUGGAGAAGAAGCACCGGCUAACUACGUG